GACGAACGCUGGCGGCGUGCUUAACACAUGCAAGUCGAGCGGUAAGGCCCUUUCGGGGGUACACGAGCGGCGAACGGGUGAGUAACACGUGGGUGACCUGCCCUCAGCUCUGGGAUAAGCCUGGGAAACCGGGUCUAUACCGGAUAUGACUCCAUGACGCAUGUUGUGGGGUGGAAAGCCUUGUGCGGGCUGAGGAUGGGCCCGCGGCCUAUCAGCUUG
rnacentral:rRNA from 1 species